GACGAACCGUGCGAACGUUGUUCGGAAUCAUUGGGCGUAAAGCGCGUGUAGGCGGCCCGGUAAGUCCGCUGUGAAAGUCGGGGGCUCAACCCUCGGAUGCCGGUGGAUACUGUCGGGCUCGAGUACGGAAGAGGCGAGUGGAAUUCCUGGUGUAGCGGUGAAAUGCGCAGAUAUCAGGAGGAACACCAAUUGCGAAGGCAGCUCGCUGGGACGUUACUGACGCUGAGACGCGAAAGCGUGGGGAGCAAACAGG
rnacentral:rRNA from 1 species